AGCGGCGGACGGGUGAGUAACGCGUGAGCAACCUUUCCUUCACUGGGGAAUAACACAGGGAAACUUGUACUAAUACCGCAUGAGACCACGGUAAGGCAUCUUACAGGGGUCAAAGAUUUAUCGGUGAAGGGUGGGCUCGCGUCCGAUUAGGUAGUUGGUGAGGUAACGGCCCACCAAGCCGACGAUCGGUAGCCGACCUGAGAGGGUGAUCGGCCACAUUGGGACUGAGACACGGCCCAAACUCCUACGGGAGGCAGCAGUGGGGAAUAUUGGGCAAUGGGCGAAAGCCUGACCCAGCAACGCCGCGUGGAGGAAGAAGGUUUUCGGAUCGUAAACUCCUGUCCUCAGGGAAGAGCAGAAGACGGUACCUGAGGAGGAAGCCCCGGCUAACUACGUGCCAGCAGCCGCGGUAAUACGUAGGGGGCAAGCGUUGUCCGGAAUGAUUGGGCGUAAAGGGCGCGUAGGCGGCCCGGUAAGUCUGGAGUGAAAGUCCUGCUUUUAAGGUGGGAAUUGCUUUGGAUACUGUCGGGCUUGAGUGCAGGAGAGGAGAGUGGAAUUCCUAGUGUAGCGGUGAAAUGCGUAGAUAUUAGGAGGAACACCAGUUGCGAAGGCGGCUCUCUGGACUGUAACUGACACUGAGGCACGAAAGCGUGGGGAGCAAACAGGAUUAGAUACCCUGGUAGUCCACCGCCGUAAACGAUGAGUACUAGCUGUCCGAGGUACCCCCUUCGGUGGCGCAGCUAACGCAUUAAGUACUCCGCCUGGGGAAGUAGGCUCGCAAGAGUGAAACUCAAAGAAAUUGACGGGGGACCCGCACAAGUAGCGGAGCAUGUGGUUUAAUUUGAAGCAACGCGAAGAACCUUACCUAAGCUUGACAUCCUUUUGACCUCUCCCUAAUCGGAGAUUUUCCUUCGGGGACAGAAGUGACAGGUGGUGCAUGGUUGUCGUCAGCUCGUGUCGUGAGAUGUUGGGUUAAGUCCCGCAACGAGCGCAACCCUUGCCUUUAGUUGCCAGCAUUAAGUUGGGCACUCUAGAGGGACUGCCAGGGAUAACCUGGAGGAAGGUGGGGAUGACGUCAAAUCAUCAUGCCCCUUAUGCUUAGGGCUACACACGUGCUACAAUGGGUGGUACAGAGGGCAGCCAAGUCGUGAGGCGGAGCUAAUCCCUUAAAGCCAUUCUCAGUUCGGAUUGUAGGCUGAAACUCGCCUACAUGAAGCUGGAGAAACUAGUAAUCGCAGAUCAGAAUGCUGCG
rnacentral:rRNA from 1 species